AAUUCCUUCCUUCCUUGUGCUAUUUCAUGUAGCAAACUGUACUGAUGAGGAGGUUGUAAUUUGCAAUUCCAGUUCACACCUGUAGAAUUCACGUGUGUUAUGUAUUACCCCAGUGGGACUUAAUUAGACCAGACACCAUCUAGAAUGAAGUUCUGGCACAACCACACCAAGCUCGAUGCUAUAAUUAUCUUCAGCUUGGCUUAGUACUAUGGGGCAGAAGGGUGACUGAAGGUUUUGGUUUGGGUAUUUUAGGGAAUAUGUGUGUAUGUAUGUGGCUAGGAAGGGAGGUUAUAGUGGGUUCAUAGACCUCAGCCAAUAUCUAAUUGUCCUUUAAUUUAUUCAGUUCCUAGGCUUCACUUCACUGCCAAUAGUUAUGCACCCAACCCUUGGCUGCCCAGAGCAUGUGUGUGAACAGAAAGGUUUCUCUGGCAGUUUUCACAGCCCUCGCUGGAACAUCUUGAUGCAAUUAGGCCUCAUGCCUUGUUAUUCCUGCCUGGAAAUAUUACUUAGCUUAGUAGGCUUACGUCUCUAUGCUAGGGAUGCAUGCGAUUGUAUUUUUGUUCUAUCCAGGGACUACUGCUAGAGCUCCCUAUAGAUUGAUCUUCAUAUUUAACUUCCUCUACCUAGCACCAAUAACCUUACAAAUCUAUGGACAGAACAAAGCAUCUUCAAGCCAGCUAACUUACCACCUUCUUCCUCAAUGAUCUAUCCAAAGAAGGCCAUUCGAAUAUAACACAUAUAUGCCAAAUCACGUCACCUUGGGAACAAAACGGAAAUGGUAAAAACAACCAAACAAUAUGUCAGUGGCAGACACAUAGAGGAAGACAGAGAACUCAGAAUUCAGCUUAUCACACUAAUAGAAUAAGCCAGAACCCACAGCAACAAAUAUGUAAAUGACAGUGGCUUAGCCCCACUGCAGUUAGUAAACCCUGACCCACUUAACUGUUUUCUCUUUCAUGUGAGGUGAAAUGGCUGUAGCCUAAUGUCCUCCUGAAAACAAGAGACAUAUCUUCAUUUUUCAGACUGGGACCAGAUUUUUGUGCCAGGCACACAUGCACACGCAGGAAAAAAACUUGACUUGUGCCCACAUGCCUGUCUUCAGGGACAAGUGGAAUCAGGCAUAAGGAAGCCCUCAUCCUCAAGUGACAUCCUUCGUCUCCCUCCUUUCUGGCCAAGAGGACCAGCCAUCUCUUAUGAUGAUAAUUUACUACCCAGAGACAACAAGUCCAUCUGAAGCAAGAACUGACUACCUAGGACUCUAUUGUGACUGAGAAACUGGGAAGAAAAUAUUGGACCAGAGACUUCAAGGCAGCUGACAAGAAUAUUCCAGUGCCAGAAUUCAAGUCUCGCCUAUGAAAACAAGCAUUUCUCUGUCAGAGAAGCCCAAGGGUUUCCACACAUGCUUGAAGAGAGGGUGAAGCUUUAGCAGCUGACCCACUGCUCUGUUCCUCUUCAGUGAGGAGGGUUUUUGUACAGCCAGACAAUGGAGAACUACCACUGUGGUGGACGUUCGGUGGAGGCACCAAGCUGGAAUUGAAACG
rnacentral:sRNA from 1 species